rnacentral:tRNA from 1 species
GGGUCUGUAGUUUAGUGGUAAAACGAUGGUCUCCAAAACCAUUGACGGGAGUUCGAUUCUCUCCAGACCCG